UGAAUGAGAUUCACCAAGUUUAUAAUUUACGCAAGCAAUGUUUUAAAAAUGAAGCAUGCAAUGUGGGUAAUUGUUGUGUGUUUAGUAUGACAGUAAACUUCAACUAGGGCAGGGGUGUCAAACAUACGGCCCGCAAGCAGAGAGCAGCGGACUAUCGACUGCUGAGGCGCAAUUCGCUCGAGUGGUGUCGCUACAUAUUUGUCUGUCACUUGUUGAGAUCGAUAAAUUUGAUGAAUAGAUUUUUCCAGAAAAUACGGUAAUUGUUUGCCGAGCCGGCAACCAAACCAUCCAUUCACUGCCCCAGGAUGGCGUAAAUCUAUUGUUGUUUCCCGGAAUGACCCGAAGUGAUCACGUGAUCAUCGUCGGAACUAAUCGGAGACGGCGAAAAAGCAGAGCGGGUACCAGGUCCUGCAUGUUCCGACAAAACUAUGAAUUGGAAGGGUGGGGGAAAUGACAUACACAAAUGAAAUAAACAUCGCAGGUUAAUUUUGAUGGAUUUUAGAAGAUUUCCCUGAAAAUUAUGGACAAUUAAGAACAUAAUUGUAUCAUUUCUUUUUUUAUUGAUUUUUAUGAACUUUAUGGACCCAUACGAACCCUGCUCUCAGGAAAACCCUAUCAGACUUCAAGCAGCAUGCAGGAGCAAAUUGCAUUUUAGCGGUUGCAC